rnacentral:tRNA from 1 species
GCCGCUUGCCCGGCUAGCUCAAUCGGUAGAGCGUGAGACUCUUAAUCUCAAGGUUGUGGGUUCGACCCGUAAGCGCCU